rnacentral:tRNA from 1 species
CAGGAAAUAGUUUAAAAAAAAUUUUAAUUUUGGAGAUUAAGGAUGAACUUAGGUUUUUUCCUGA